rnacentral:misc_RNA from 1 species
GACAAGGAAGAACGUGAAGUUAGGUAUUGAUCUCUCUUUAUGUGGUUUUAAUGAAUUUCAAAGAAAUUGUCCUACAGAAGUUUCACGUUUCUUGAAUUUUUGAAGUUGAAAAGAACAAUGAUAGUUUUACAUGGUUCUGAAUGAUGGAAAUUUUACAAUUGCAUAAUUAUGCUCGACUUCUUAAUGUUUAGACAUAACCAGGGCAUUGGUGUUUAUCCUCCUGUUGAUUAGAAAAAGGGGAAAAAGGUUGAGGACACUAUCAACACGAUGCAAAUGUUGAACCCUAGUUUAUCUAAGGUGAAAUUGAAU